rfam:Daucus carota subsp. sativus cultivar DH1 chromosome 2, whole genome shotgun sequence.
UGUUGAUCGAUGAUGAAUUGAAAAACUGCGUUAUCUAUCUGUAAAUUCCGAAAAGGAAUUGAAGAUAAUCUUAUUGUUUAAUUGAGAUCAGCU